UCUAUCCCAGGAGUGCAUCUGGAGAGUGGCCAGUGUUCUGCCAGCAGCAGAGAUGGGAAGGGAAGCAAGUAUGGCAGAAGCAAACAUUCCAGCUCCAGCUUGCUCAGUAGCUGGUGAUUGGAAGCACUCUGCAACGGUG